GAUCGGUCGCCUCGUAACAGACGGCCAUGAACCUCGUCAGGUCCGGAAGGAAGCAGCGAUAAGUGAUC
rnacentral:SRP_RNA from 1 species